CACGUUUUCCGCGCCGUAGCUAACGCAUUAAGUGCCCCGCCUGGGGAGUACGGCCGCAAGGCUAAAACUCAAAGGAAUUGACGGGGGCCCGCACAAGCGGCGGAGCAUGCGGAUUAAUUCGAUGCAACGCGAAGAACCUUACCAAGGCUUGACAUGAACCGGUAACACCUGGAGACAGGUGCCCCGCUUGCGGUCGGUUUACAGGUGGUGCAUGGUUGUCGUCAGCUCGUGUCGUGAGAUGUUGGGUUAAGUCCCGCAACGAGCGCAACCCUCGUUCUAUGUUGCCAGCACGUGAUGGUGGGGACUCAUAGGAGACUGCCGGGGUCAACUCGGAGGAAGGUGGGGACGACGUCAAAUCAUCAUGCCCCUUAUGUCUUGGGCUUCACGCAUGCUACAAUGGCCGGUACAAAGGGUUGCGAUACUGUGAGGUGGAGCUAAUCCCAAAAAGCCGGUCUCAGUUCGGAUUGGGGUCUGCAACUCGACCCCAUGAAGUCGGAGUCGCUAGUAAUCGCAGAUCAGCAACGCUGCGGUGAAUACGUUCCCGGGCCUUGUACACACCGCCCGUCAAGUCACGAAAGUUGGUAACACCCGAAGCCGGU
rnacentral:rRNA from 1 species